rnacentral:tRNA from 1 species
AGGAUUAUAGUUUAAAUAAAACAUUUGAUUUGCAUUCAAAAAAUAUUAAUUUGUAAUAAUUUAUCUUA